CCUACGGGCGGCUGCAGUGGGGAAUAUUGGACAAUGGGGGGAACCCUGAUCCAGCCAUGCCGCGUGUGUGAAGAAGGCCCUCGGGUUGUAAAGCACUUUCAGUGAGGAAGAACGCCUGGUGGUUAAUACCCAUCAGGAAAGACAUCACUCACAGAAGAAGCACCGGCUAACUCCGUGCCAGCAGCCGCGGUAAUACGGAGGGUGCGAGCGUUAAUCGGAAUUACUGGGCGUAAAGCGCGCGUAGGUGGCUUGAUAAGCCGGUUGUGAAAGCCCCGGGCUCAACCUGGGAACGGCAUCCGGAACUAUCAAGCUAGAGUGCAGGAGAGGAAGGUAGAAUUCCCGGUGUAGCGGUGAAAUGCGUAGAGAUCGGGAGGAAUACCAGUGGCGAAGGCGGCCUUCUGGACUGACACUGACACUGAGGUGCGAAAGCGUGGGUAGCAAACAGGAUUAGAUACCCUGGUAGUC
rnacentral:rRNA from 1 species